rnacentral:rRNA from 1 species
GAUGCCCGCUUUCUUCUUGCCUAAUACAUGCAAGUCGAGCGAACAGACGAGGAGCUUGCUCCUCUGACGUUAGCGGCGGACGGGUGAGUAACACGUGGAUAACCUACCUAUAAGACUGGGAUAACUUCGGGAAACCGGAGCUAAUACCGGAUAAUAUAUUGAACCGCAUGGUUCAAUAGUGAAAGACGGUUUUGCUGUCACUUAUAGAUGGAUCCGCGCCGCAUUAGCUAGUUGGUAAGGUAACGGCUUACCAAGGCGACGAUGCGUAGCCGACCUGAGAGGGUGAUCGGCCACACUGGAACUGAGACACGGUCCAGACUCCUACGGGAGGCAGCAGUAGGGAAUCUUCCGCAAUGGGCGAAAGCUUGACGGAGCAACGCCGCGUGAGUGAUGAAGGUCUUCGGAUCGUAAAACUCUGUUAUUAGGGAAGAACAAAUGUGUAAGUAACUAUGCACGUCUUGACGGUACCUAAUCAGAAAGCCACGGCUAACUACGUG